rnacentral:lncRNA from 1 species
UAAACACAAAAAUAACGUAAAUAGCUCAAAAAUAUAAGGAACUAACUAAGAAAAGACGAGUGAAAUCGAAGUAAAAAUAUAUAUAAAUAUGAUCCGAUCAAAUACCCCCACACUUAACUUUUGCUAGUCCUCGAGCAAAACAAAGAAAACAAGAAUAAGAAGUAACAAGAAAAACAUUAGCUUCCCCUUAUGUGACCCUCAUAGAAUUUCAUUCGAGAACACAAAUCAACAAGAACCAUAGCUAGCACCAAACAAACUAAUCCAAGUUCAUCUUCCUUAUUCAAAUAUUAGCAGUAAUCUUUGAAUCAUCCUUGAAGUGUAGUGUGUAAGAUAGCCAUGCUAAUGCAAUUUCAAAAUUUUUAUAUUUUUAAAAUCAUCAUAUGCAAACUAGCAACCUUCUCACGGGAUAUACACUCAAUCACACAUGUGUUUAGUUUAAAUGUGUUUCGCUCAAAGAAUCAAAUGUGAAAGUUCUACCAUAAGCUUGCAUAAAGAUCACUUCUCCACAGUCAUAAUUGCAAAACUUAAAUCAAGAGGACUUUUAUUGGAUGUAAUGAGGUUUAGGGAGAGGGUUAUUGAAAUGAAAGAAUAGGUAAACACAAGUUCCAAGCUACAUUGCAAGCAAUUCUUUUGUUUAGAUUUAUAAGAACUCAAUCUUUCCAGCGAUUCUUCUAGCACCUCCAACCACACCCUUAAACUGAAACUUUAAAAACUUUUUAUUUCAUUUGUAUACAAUCUUUCUUUUUCUUUUUCUUUUCUUUUCUUUUUUUUUUUUUUAAAUACAAACAUGAAAUACCCCCACACUUAUUCUUUUGCCAAACACCUUCAAAGCACUUCACAAACGUUUCUCAUAAGACAAUCUCGCAUUGCUCGCUUGAAAAGGGUAAGGAAAAAUGUUUCAGGUAUAAGGGUAGACAUAUCUGGUGAUAAGAAAUAAAAGGCUCAACAUAUACGGCUCAAAUUGGCAAUCUAAUGAUAUCAUUUUUCUUUGGGAAACAUGGUUAUUUGGGCCAUGGUGGUAAACCUAAUGCCUCUAUCAUUUCCAAGUUCAUGCAAUCAAUGACAAACAUUUUGAAAGAUCGUUACGCAAGUUCUAGAGAUGUAUCUCACAUAAGUUCAUCACACAUGAAAGAAUAGGAGUGUAUGAAAAAAUGCACACACUUUUUUAUCGGCUCAAAAACUCACAUAGGAUGUAUAUGGUCACUAAAUUCACAUAUGAAGCUUUAAGUCAUACUUUAGUUUCACAUCAACAAGGCUAUGUGCAUUUGUUUUUUCAGAUGGUCAAACAUGUACAAAACUAACAAGAGAAUUAGGAAUUCACAAAACACAUGUUAACUAAGUUCUUGAUGAUCAUGGUUCAAAUUUGAUCCAAUUAUAUCAUUGGGUCGGGAAACUAACAAAAAUCUAAUUCAAAACAAUAAGGGAAACAAGACAAUAUUUUUGGAUUUUUAAAUUUUCCGAUUUUUUAAAUUUUUUUUUUUUAAAAGAAAACAAAACUAAUUAAGAAAACAAAAAGCAACAACAUGGAAACAAAUGAAACUCAUUCGUAGUUGAAGGUACAAAAAAAUUUCAAUUUGGUCAUUUUUAUACUCUUUACCCCCAAACUUAAACUGGACAUUGUCCCCAAUGUCAGA